GAUGAACGCUGGCGGCGUGCCUAAUACAUGCAAGUCGAGCGAACAGACGAGGAGUUUGCCCCUCUGACGUUAGCGGCGGACGGGUGAGUAACACGUGGAUAACCUACCUAGUAGACGGGGAUAACUUCGGGAAACCGUAGCUAAUGCAUGCGAAUAUAUUGAACCGCAUGGUGCAAUAGUGAAAUACGGCUUUGCUGUUGCUUAUAGAUGGAUCCGCGCCGCAUUAGCUAGUUGGUAAGGUAACGGCUUACCAAGGCAACGAUCCGUAGCCGACCUGAGAGGGUGAUCGGCCACACUGGAACUGAGACACGGUCCAGACUCCUACGGGAGGCAGCAGUAGGGAAUCUUCCGCAAUGGGCGAAAGCCUGACGGAGCAAUGCCGCGUGAGUGAUGAAGGUCUUCGGAUCGUAAAACACUGUUAUUAGGGAAGAAAAACUGUGUAAGUAAAUAUGCACGUCUUGACGGUACCUAAAGAGAAAGCAACGGCUAACUACGUG
rnacentral:rRNA from 1 species